GGAGAAGCCUUAACACACGGUUAAAAGAACAUAAGGCCAGCAUACAAGCGGCAAGUCUGACUACAGCCCUGGCCAACAUAGCGUAUGAACAAAAUGUGACAAUUAAAUGGGAUGAGGCCCGUAUUAUUAAACCAUUACAACAUACUAUGGGCAUUACAACCAUUGAGGCCAUCGAAAUACAAAAAAGAAAGCGGACACAAGAUGUUAUCAACGAUAACGAACCGUCAGCAUUGCCACCCGCGUGGAAAUGGUGCGCAACCAAUAGGUUAUAGUUAUGUAAUAUUCUGCCUGAUGAAUAAUUGUUACUCGCAACAUACC
rnacentral:lncRNA from 1 species